rnacentral:rRNA from 1 species
GACAAGUCUCACGGACGUUAUUCGGAAUUACUGGGCUUAAAGGAUGCGUAGGCGGUGGAGUAAGUCGGAUGUGAAAUACCUUAGCUUAACUAGGGAACUGCACUCGAUACUACUUUGCUAGAGUAAGACAGAGGUGAGUGGAACUGAGGGUGGAGCGGUGAAAUGCGUUGAUAUCCUCAGGAACACCGGUGGCGAAGGCGACUCACUGGGUCUAUACUGACGCUGAUGCACGAAAGCUAGGGUAGCAAACGGG